GAUGAACGCUGGCGGUAUGCUUAACACAUGCAAGUCGAACGGACUCUUCGGAGUUAGUGGCGGACGGGUGAGUAACGCGUGAGAAUCUGGCCUUGGGUUCGGGACAACCACUGGAAACGGUGGCUAAUACCGGAUGUGCCGAGAGGUAAAAGAGAAAUUGCCUGCAGAUGAGCUCGCGUCUGAUUAGCUAGUUGGUGAGGUAAAGGCUCACCAAGGCAGCGAUCAGUAGCUGGUCUGAGAGGAUGACCAGCCACACUGGGACUGAGACACGGCCCAGACUCCUACGGGAGGCAGCAGUGGAGAAUUAUCCGCAAUGGGCGAAAGACUGACGGAGCAAUACCGCGUGAGAGAAGAAGGCUCUUGGGUUGUAAACCUCUUUUCUUAGGGAAGAACAAAAUGACGGUACCUAAGGAAUCAGCAUCGGCUAACUCCGUG
rnacentral:rRNA from 1 species